UGGGGAAUAUUGGACAAUGGGCGCAAGCCUGAUCCAGCCAUGCCGCGUGAGUGAUGAAGGCCCUAGGGUUGUAAAGCUCUUUCACCGGUGAAGAUAAUGACGGUAACCGGAGAAGAAGCCCCGGCUAACCUCGUGCCAGCAGCCGCGGUAAUACGAAGGGGGCUAGCGUUGUUCGGAUUUACUGGGCGUAAAGCGCACGUAGGCGGACUAUUAAGUCAGGGGUGAAAUCCCGGGGCUCAACCCCGGAACUGCCUUUGAUACUGGUAGUCUUGAGUUCGAGAGAGGUGAGUGGAAUUCCGAGUGUAGAGGUGAAAUUCGUAGAUAUUCGGAGGAACACCAGUGGCGAAGGCGGCUCACUGGCUCGAUACUGACGCUGAGGUGCGAAAGCGUGGGGAGCAAACAGG
rnacentral:rRNA from 1 species